CCUACGGGUGGCUGCAGUGGGGAAUAUUGGACAAUGGGGGCAACCCUGAUCCAGCCAUGCCGCGUGUGUGAAGAAGGCCCUCGGGUUGUAAAGCACUUUCAGUGAGGAAGAACGCCUGGUGGUUAAUACCCAUCAGGAAAGACAUCACUCACAGAAGAAGCACCGGCUAACUCCGUGCCAGCAGCCGCGGUAAUACGGAGGGUGCGAGCGUUAAUCGGAAUUACUGGGCGUAAAGCGCGCGUAGGUGGCUUGAUAAGCCGGUUGUGAAAGCCCCGGGCUCAACCUGGGAACGGCAUCCGGAACUGUCAAGCUAGAGUGCAGGAGAGGAAGGUAGAAUUCCCGGUGUAGCGGUGAAAUGCGUAGAGAUCUGGAGGAAUACCAGUGGCGAAGGCGGCCUUCUGGACUGACACUGACACUGAGGUGCGAAAGCGUGGGUAGCAAACAGGAUUAGAUACCCUGGUAGUC
rnacentral:rRNA from 1 species